rnacentral:lncRNA from 7 species
AUACGCAAUCAAUGCUUAUGUCAUCAAAUACUGAAUACAAGGACCAUUAUCGGAUUACAUGUAUAACGGGUUGUCAGAUUAAUGUAGAGUGAGGAUGGUACACCUUUUUCCAGGUACAAUUUAAUCUGAAGCACAGGAAGACUCGACAAAGAUUAGACAUGAUGUGCAGAUAUCCACCAUCAUAAUCUCAUUGAGAUAUAAGAUCCCAUUUCAGAACCUUGAACCUAAGAUGUCUUCCAUUAUUCAGUAAAAUUUCCAACAGAACUAAAGGUCCUACAACACAUACAUUUUUUUAAAGGACCAAUUCAAAAUCCUGGACCUCAAACUGCCAACGCAUUACAAGAAACAGGGUGUAAGAUCAUCUAAUGUUUGUCGUCCUUGGGCACAGCGUCUUUCUUGGCAGCUUGGGACUCCAACUCCUUCACUGAAGACUGUUCAGUAGAUCUAUUUUGAAUCAUGAAAAUGCAUGAGACCGUACAGAACUAUUAAAGCAAAUGUGAUGCUCAAAUGGUUAUUGGUGGUUUCAAGUUUCAACUUUGAGCAGAGCUUCAAAGCAUGAGAGAAGACACAGUGACACACGCAGCAUUAUAAUGGCUACAACAAAAGGUGUGUAAUAAACAAAACAAAAAUAGGUAUCGCUGAAGCACCAAUGCGACUACUGUAAACUUUGAUAGUUUGAUGUACAAACACAUCAUCACUAAUUCAUUCGAAAUAGUAACAGUAGAUUGCUUAUUCUGGAUCCAUAUAAGAAUGGUUGAUUCCAAUAAAAUUUCACUUCCAGACCAAAUAAGCCCACCGAAUAAUUUAAAGUAAAAUGGCCAAAGUGAUGUCUGUCCUCAUUGGGGUCGGUGCGGCCCUGUGCCAUGAGCACCAUGCACUGGCUAAUUACAAUUUGGACUAAUCAUCCACGGCUAAUUACAUUGGUCCUGCACUAGUGCCGCACAUGGACAUGGACAAAAUCAAAGUUGUAUCGCCAAAUGCACCAGCACAUGUUCCUGGCCCGUCAUCGACCGUUGGCACAGCUUGGAUGGUAUGCUAACUAGCUUUAAUCCAAUGAAAAUUGCUUGAUGGCAUGAGGGGAGGGGAAAUUUUAAAUAGUGUCGUCGAAGGAAAAAAUAUAUUUCCAACGGCACAUAAGGGAUCAUUAUAAGUUUCGGUGACAUUCAAGGAAUUUUCUCAUCCAAUGAUCCAAUAGUGGAGUGUUCUGCACCCCACCUCAUCUUGGUCAGUUUCAUAAAUGCUGAGUUAUGAACCCAGUAAACAGCACACGUCCCUCUAGCAGUACCAUCUCUUAAAACAGAUUCAUCCUCCGCCCACCGGAUAUAGAAUGCAGGGAUACAACACAUCCUGAACUGGCCACUCUCCCGUUGCUGAGUUCUCUACCCAGUUGGCACACCCUCCCAGCGGCAAGCAUGACACCUAGACUUGUUGCUUCAUUUGUCAACCAAAUUUGUUUUUGCUUUUCAUUUAGGUAGUUAUGAAUUUUCCAUCCACUCUAUUUUUUUCCCUACUCUUCAACUGAGCUCAUGAUAUUUUAUUCCUUUCUUUCUUUUUUUGUCAGCUGGUGUAAUUUUUUAAGUCAGCAUUAAUUUAUGAAUCUCAUAUUCUGUUCUUAUGCGCAUGUAUUUCUUAACUGAAAUUUUCUUAUCCCCCCUCCCAUUCCUUCAAUCUCUUAUGCGGAGAAGAUUAUCCUUCAGCUCUUGUUUUGAUUUGUGCAUCGCGCUGCUAUGCCAUUACACAGUACAUUGCCAUCACGCCAAAUAUUGCAAAUGAGUAUCUAAUUCACUAUAUCACUACCAAAAUAAAUAAAAGAAAUCGACAUUUCUCUCAUCAUACUCCUGGAAAUUUCAUCUGUGAACCAAACGCCACCUAAUUUCACUCCUAAAUUUCACUCCCACCUGGCUGAAUUGCAGCUCAACUAACCAGAUUAAACUAAAACUACACCAUAACCAUUUUUCCACCACUGAAUAACCAGUAGCAGGCAGCUAGCCUAUCUCAGAUCCAAUCCGGGCGGGUCUAAUCGCCAAAUCAGCCGCAAUGGCUAAGGCUAACGAACGGGCCGUGAAGACUACUAGACAGAUAGAUAGACGCGAGGCGAGGCGGCGAGAGCACAGACGAAAUGGAGAAAAGGAGCGUACUUGGCGGCGGCGGCGGACUCCUCCUCGAGCCAGUUGCGGAUGUGGCGCACGUUGCGGCGG